GAUGAACGCUGGCGGCGUGCCUAAUACAUGCAAGUCGAGCGAACAGAUGAGGAGCUUGCUCCUCUGACGUUAGCGGCGGACGGGUGAGUAACACGUGGAUAACCUACCUAUAAGACUGGGAUAACUUCGGGAAACCGGAGCUAAUACCGGAUAAUAUAUUGAACCGCAUGGUUCAAUAGUGAAAGACGGUUUUGCUGUCACUUAUAGAUGGAUCCGCGCCGCAUUAGCUAGUUGGUAAGGUAACGGCUUACCAAGGCGACGAUGCGUAGCCGACCUGAGAGGGUGUUCGGCCACACUGGAACUGAGACACGGUCCAGACUCCUACGGGAGGCAGCAGUAGGGAAUCUUCCGCAAUGGGCGAAAGCCUGACGGGGCAACGCCGCGUGAGUGAUGAAGGUCUUCGGAUCGUAAAACUCUGUUAUUAGGGAAGAACAAAUGUGUAAGUAACUAUGCACGUCUUGACGGUACCUAAUCAGAAAGCCACGGCUAACUACGUG
rnacentral:rRNA from 1 species